AUUGCAUCGGUCACCUUCCGAAAUUGUACAAUUUCUAGUUACAUGAGUGUAAGACUCUUCAAUCAAUUUCAGGACUCUUCUCAAGUGUAGGUGUGUUGGAUGCAAGGGAUUGUGCAUCAAUGGAACGACUCUCAGUUUCGUCAAACCACAAGAGAGGACGACAUUUUUUCCUUCGUAAUUGCCACAAAUUGACGGAGAUUCAAGGCUUGGAGAAUUGGGAAAUUUCUUCUCUUCACAAUUAAGCAUAUAAUUUUAGGAGUCAUCUCCAGUGUCCGUUAACCAUGGGCGAUGAUGAGUCUCGUUUCAUUUGCCUCCCUGGUAGUGAGGUUCCAAAUUGGUUUAGCCACAAGGGAAUUGGGUCUUCAAUAUCCUUUCAUGUACCUUCAAUUUCAAAGGGUCAAUUCCUUCGGUUGCUUGUUUGUGUUGUUUGUUCUUUUAAUGCAACCUCUGAUUUCUGGUUUUCUCGUUACUAUCUUGGCGUGGAAAUCCGAAAUAAAACUAGAGGCAACAUUAAAUUGCUUUGGCCACCUCCUAAAGCCACUUUUAAUGUUGACAACGUCUCUAUUUUUCGAACAACAAAAGGAGAAGAUCAUUUCAUUCUAUAUCUGACGCCACUCAUAAGACAUAAAUAUGAGUUGGAAAGUGGGCUCAUAUUUAAUGAAUUGGUGAUGGAAAGUGGAGACGAAAUUGAGGUGAUCUGCAGAAAUUGGCUAUAUGCUGAAGUGAAGAAGUGGGGAGUUCAUGUAGUAGUUGACGAGCCAAAAGUAAUGUAAGAAUAUGUUACGUUGAAGAAGAAGUUUGGAGGACUUAUCUUUUA